rnacentral:rRNA from 1 species
UACAGAGGUCUCGAGCGUUGUUCGGAUUCAUUGGCGUAAAGGGUGCGUAGGUGGCGCCGUAAGUCGGGUGUGAAAUUCGGAGCUUAACUCCGAAACUGCAUUCGAUACUGCGGUGCUUGAGGACUGGAGAGAAGACUGGAAUUCAUGGUGUAGCAGUGAAAUGCGUAGAGAUCAUGAGGAAGACCAGUGGCGAAGGCGGGUCUCUGGACAGUUCCUGACACUGAGGCACGAAGGCCAGGGAGCAAACGGG